AGAGAAAGAAAGGAAAGAGGUAGUUCAAGGUUCAUUUCCAUUUUUCCUCUCUUUUUAUUUUCUUCAAGAGGUAGAUAUAUUUUAUGUUAAAUUCUAGGGUUUUAUUUUGGCUCCAAAAUUUUCAGAUUUUUGAGAGGAAUACUAGUUGGAGCUCAAGUUAUUAAUUCUUGAAUUUCUAUCUACACUAAGGUAAGGAGAUAUUAUUUUUUUGGGCAAACCCUAGUUUUUAAAUUUGAUGAUUGAGCAUGGAUUAUUUGUGGAAAUGAUUACAUUAAUGGAAUUGUUCACUUGGCAGAAUGAUUUUGGGGAAUGAUAGAUAUAUUAAUUUGGUUGUAUUAUGAUUUCUUGUUUUUCACUAAAAUGAAAGGGACAAAUAUUGUUAUGAUUGUAAUGAAGUUAAAUUUGGAUGUGGUAUAUGAUUAUGAAGGUAUUAGAAAGUGGAAAUUAGUUUCGACUGAUUAAAGGAAAUUUAGGAAAAUUUCGCAAGUCUCGGGGAAUUUAGUUUAAUUAUUAUAUGAUUAGAGAUUAAAUGUUUCUUUAUUUUAGUAGUGAUUAAAUUAGUUAUUUGUAACGUAUUACAGGUGGUGACGAAGAAUUGGAAAAGCUUACCGACU
rnacentral:lncRNA from 1 species